CUAAACAAAAAUCAUAUUUGCAUUUUGUUUUUACAGUGAGGCCAUGUAGGCCUGAUUGUAGGAGGAGUCCAUCUCAUGGACGACGAGCCUCGUGACGUUGACCCGGGCGCUGGUGGCGUUGUUGAAGAGGUAGACCCCAGCGUUGGCAUAGAUGGCCUCCGUUGGGUACACCCGUGACGUCGCCGUCAACCUCCCGCCCAUUGCAAAGCUCUCAACAAUGGAAUGGUCCACUAGCACCCUCACCGAAAACUCCUCGCCGUCGAGCACGGGGACAAUAUUGCCUACGACCCUCUUGACAAUAUCGUUGGCAUGAGAUGAGCGCGUCUCGUCAUGGCAGAAGUGUGUGCGCAGGCCGCCGUCGAGGCCUCUGGCGACGUAGAAGUAGACGCCGGUCCGCUCCAUGUCGCCACCGUGGCGCCUGGCAUCAGCAAGCACAAGGAGGCCGAAGGGACCGAGUGUGCCACGUCCAGUCGUGCCACCGCUGGUGCUGCAGUUGUAGCCAACAUCUGCCUCCUUGGCAGCGGCGACGUCGACCGGGUCAAGACGAAAUGAGGCCUCGAUGUCGAGCUGGGUGGCACGGUGAAGGUUGAGUGGGAAUACGGAGCCAUGGUCGACGGUAACGCCUCCAAGGUUGGUGGAGUUGGUCCGGAGCGUCUCCACCUCCUCCACCGGCCACUGCAGGAGGUUGCUCCCCGUCUUGGUGUCCAGCACCACCGUGCGAGGGAUCGACUGCAACAGUAACAACUGAAAACAUUACCAACUUGCACUAAUUAACUUUUCAGCAAAGAAACCUCAUGGUACCAAUCAUUGUGGCAGCAUAUAUAGAAAUAGUUAACUGUGGGGUAAGCAGACAAGACAUCCCUUUUUCUUGUUUAAUCCUAGUUUGCUGCAGACAAGACCACAUGGGUGUGAGUUUUGCUUGUAGGACACACACACACACACACAAAACUAGCUAGUUGCAUUGGUGUAUAUUGUACUACUCCAUUAUAUCCAAAUAAAAAGGCAUUAGCAACUGUCGCCAUUCCAUCAUUGUUUCCUUUUCCUUUUAGAAUCCUCCUGGUAUCAUCACUGUGACAGCAAAAGAGAGAGGGAGUACUAGGUAACUCAAGACAAAGACAUCCAUCUUCUUGUCUAAUCCCAACAGAAAUUGUGUAUGCUUAUUAUAACCAGUUAGGUGGUUCUUGGCAUGCCACUAGGCCACAUGGGGUGUGCAGAGUUUGUUUGUUGGACACAGCUACAAUGACAUUGUGCAUUCAAAGUAUCACAACAGUUGCUGGAACUCUUUGCAAGCUGCUAUUUAUCUAUAAUUCCUGCCAAGUUGACAACGAGAUGACAGCAACAUCUCGUUAGCUGCUAUCUAUCUAUAAUUCCUGCCAAGUUACUCCUAUUAUUAUUUGCAUGCCGACGUGUCUGUGAAACCCAACAAAAAGUGCAUGCAACACAUCUAACCAUGCAAGUUUGUGCUAACAAAGCGAUAGUGUAUUUGAAUCAAUUAAUGGAGGUAUUAAUCAAUCACUUGAAGAAGAUGAUGAAAAUGUCAAGUACCUGCAGGGAGGCCCAUCCCUUGGCGACAUCAGCGUGCUCGGAGUCGGUCUCACCGACCCACCCCCACAGCACGCGUCGCUUCUUUGAUGGAUCGUAGAAUGUCUUGGACGCGUAGAACUUUCCCCAAUCGUACCUCAGCCCAAUGCCGACAUCGGCAUCGGAGUCCAGCGGCGUCCAUGUGUUCAUCGCCGCGUCAUACCUUCCCAGCGCGUAGUAGUCGUGUCGGUCAUCAUCGGAGCUCUCCUUCAUCACGUGCAAAACAUCACCACCGCCGUUGUUGGACGCCGCGGCCACUGCCUCCGUCAUGUCGAUGCCCCUCACGCCGCCAACCGGGUACAAGUCGAUGCACUCCCACAUCCCCGUCCCUGGUACACGGUGAAGCAGGCCAGGGACAAGCUCGUAGUCGAUGAAAUCCUUCGUCUUGUACGUCAUCACCAUACCGGCAUGGUGAUCAUCCUUGGAGCCGAUUACGAGUCGCCAUGUGUCGUCGGAGCCAUCAAACCACGCAGUGGUUGGGUCCCUGAAGUCCUUGUCCCCGACGCCGGGUGGCGGGUACAUCACCGGGUUGUUCUCAUACUUGGUCCAGUUGAUGAGCAAAGGGUCGGAGGGGUCGGUGGGGAAAGCGAGGCAUUGGACCUGGACUGAUGCGUUGGUGGAGCCGGUGUAGAGCAUGACGAUGCGGCCGUCGGGGAGGACGGUGGCGGAGCCCGACCAGACGCCAUUGAUGUCGUACCAUUGGUCAGGGGACAUUGCCACCGGGAGGUGGCGCCACCGGAGCAGGUCGCGGGAGGCGGCGUGGCCCCAUGCGAUCUUGUUGCCCCAGAUGGCACCGUCCGGGUUGUACUGGUAGAAGAGGUGGUACCACCCCUUGUAAUACACCGGACCUGCAUUUUCAUUUUGCAAUUUGCAUCAAAGAAUUGUGUUUUACAUGAAUGAUCACCACUUAUGUAACGAUGGAGGAUGGAGGGAAUGUUACUUACCAUUGGGGUCGUUCAUCCAGUUCUUCUCGGGCUGGAAGUGGAAGCCGGUGCGCUGCCACUGGAGCAUGGCAUUGCUCCACGGGAACGCGUUGCCGCCGGCGUCCGCGCGCAGCAUGCCGCCGCGCGCGCCGGCGCCGGACGUCUUCUCCGAGACUCCAGACUCAGGCCCCCGGCUGCUGGCGCUCAUCGGCGCCGUGUCGACCGUCGUCUGGUGGCCAGACAUGACGACGAUGCCACCCGCGGGCAGCUGGCCGGCGAGUCUGACGCCGGCGAGCGCGGCUACCACUAGGAGCACGGCCACCGUCGCCAGCAGCAGGGCGGCACAGAGCAGGCCAGCAGUCCGGCGCACGCGCCCCACCGUGGCGGCGGCCUCGGCAUCCUCCGGCAGCGGCGCGUAGGAGCACGGCAGGGGCGCUGAGCCGCCGUCUCUGGCCUCCAUUGGCACAAAAUUGAAGUGAAACGCAAAGGAGGGUUUACUGGAAGUGAUUGCUCAAUUAGCAAGAAGCUCCCCCGCUAAUCUUAACAAAAGAGGAAGAGAAUGUGUGUGCUUGCCGAGGAGCUUCGCCUUUCCUUUUUAUAGUCUCCAUGCCACCGUUAGCGGCCUAGCUGGUGCGGUGGCGUCCACCGCCGUGGGCCCGGAGUGUCAGUGCUAAUCAUCAUCUGUCCAGGCCAUGUUAUCCAGCUCGAGCCUUGUAGCACUCACUCAUUGUUCCGAGAAACUCUACUGGCAGUACUAGCUAGUGGCUCAGGCUGGAUCAUUAUAUUCUUUACGUAGUUACUUUGUUUGUGUUCAGAACUUCAGAUCCUUCCAUGAUCGAGUUGGAUCAUAGAUUCCGUUGAGAGAGAGAAAGAGAGAGAGAGAACCGAAACCGCUGCUCAUGGGGUCGAUCCAUCAUGGGGCCCCAGAUAACUUAGGGCCUCUUUGAUUCAUAGGAUUGAAAAAACACAGGAAUAGGAAAAACGUAGGAUUAGAAUGGCAUGUUCACUGGAUUCUUAUAGGAUUUGAGUUUGUUUGAUUGUGUCACGGGAAAACCAAAGAAUUUCUUUCAAGAGGUUGGAGUGGAUGUUCGAAUUCCUGUGAAAUGUAGUACAAAUGAAUUCUUAAGAAAAAAUCCUACAAAAUUCAAUCCCACGAAUCAAACGACCAACGUAGGAAAAAUUCCUAAUGAUUCUAAUCCUCCAACGAUCCUAUGAAAAUCCUUUGAAUCAAGUAGACCCUUAGGUUAAUUACCAUAUUGCAUCUCUUGCCUUUGCCGAUCCCUAAAAGGCUAUGGAGGAGUAGAUUUCGGUUUUACAGCUCUAACUGCAACAUAGCCAAACUCCUAAACUGUAUAUGGGAGUAAAAAAAUUACUUCGCCUCCAAGAGGGCGCCUAAAAAUACUCAGCUGUGACUGUGCGGAGUAAUUUUUCUGUCGCGCUACCACCUUCCCCGCCCACCUACAACCGCCCCCCGAGCCUCCACCCCCCUACGACGGCAGCGAGAACCCACCUCCNNNNNNNNNNNNNNNNNNNNNNNNNNNNNNNNNNNNNNNNNNNNNNNNNNNNNNNNNNNNNNNNNNNNNNNNNNNNNNNNNNNNNNNNNNNNNNNNNNNNNNNNNNNNNNNNNNNNNNNNNNNNNNNNNNNNNNNNNNNNNNNNNNNNNNNNNNNNNNNNNNNNNNNNNNNNNNNNNNNNNNNNNNNNNNNNNNNNNNNNNNNNNNNNNNNNNNNNNNNNNNNNNNNNNNNNNNNNNNNNNNNNNNNNNNNNNNNNNNNNNNNNNNNNNNNNNNNNNNNNNNNNNNNNNNNNNNNNNNNNNNNNNNNNNNNNNNNNNNNNNNNNNNNNNNNNNNNNNNNNNNNNNNNNNNNNNNACCCUAACGAGGCCUCUAAGUAGAACACGGCGGCGCCGCAAGCAAACGAGACGGCAGCAAGGUGGUUGGCGCCAACAGCAAGGGAAGCACCACCACCAUCGCAUUCCCAUCCUCGCUGCUGCAGAGAUAGCACCCUCACAUCAACGGCGGCCUCUGCUCGAGCCGGUGGUCUUGAUGGAUCUUUCUUGCCGUAGUGGAAGAGGCCACAACAUUACCAGUGUGGUCACCAUCGGCGCCGCUAGCUGCGGAGACGCAUCGCAGGUGUUCAACAAAAUGUUUAAGCCAUGUAUAAGUUUUACUCCGCUAAAUUUACGGGAUCAGCUAGUACUCCACUAAGCUGUGCUCCACCAUUUACUCCUCUGUUUUUUAGGGAUCGGCUAGAGAUGCUUUUAGGGCAUCUCCAACUCGAGCCCCAAAAUGGACACAUCUUUUGCCCAGACUAGUUUGCCGGAUACUAAUGCGGGAACCGGCCAUCAUUGUCUCCUAAGUGUCCGUCUUUUUUAGAAAGAUCGCAACACUCGAAUUAAUUAUAGAAAAUAACACAAUUUAUUCAAAAUAGCAUGCAAAUUUCCCUAGUCCAACAAUGGUUCAACUGUAAAUAUUACAUCCGACAUAACCGGAUGUUCAACAAGUUUUUUUAGUUUAUUGAUUCCAAAUACGAGAAUACUCGAGUUAGAAUCGGCACAUGAAUGAAUUCAUUGUUUCCAAAUUCAAGCCCUUGAAUUUCAUCCAACAAUGUAUGCGUGUGAAUGAUCUGCCCUCGGUCCUACAGUACAUCAUGACAAGCGUGCAGACUAUAUAACAUGUAGAGCAACAUUAAGCUAUCAGUAAAUUAACCAAUAUGUAGAGCAACAAGAGGCAAUACGUUGGAAAAUGAGGGUGCAAAUGGAAAGUGGCGGGAGGGGGAGGGGCAGAUUGACAGAAAAGUGGAUUGGAGGGGGAUUGAGUGGGUCGAGGCUGUAGCAGUCGACCUACGUGGCCGCGGUUCGGACUCCCGCAACACCCCCCUGCCCCCACCCACCAGCUUGCCUUCGGUUUACGAGAUAACGGACGUCCAGACCAGUCAAUGGACCGACGAGUACCACGUUAAAUGGCAGGAUUACGCCUCUCUAGUUCCAGUUUACUCUUUCCGUUGCCUACACGGCCUCUUCCCUAAACAAAGCCUGCUUUGCUGCAUCACCAAAACCAACAGCAAACAAUUGAAGAUGGAUGGCCACGAUCUUCAAUCAAUGAAUGGCCAACAGCUCAUGAAUGGCCUCUCGUACGUUUCUGCUGCAUGCCACAUGACAUCCAUGUCGUGCUGACUCACCCUUGUCGGGGAGGCAUUCUAGAGGCUGUGCCGGAGCCAGUCAGCAACCAGUUCGGCAUCAAGUUCUAGAGAGAUCGAUCAGUACGUGGCAACUACUCCUAGUGGUCCUCCUCCUGCUGCUGCAUGAUGCUACCAAUAGCAAUUAGUAGUAGCUUCGGCAAAGGUCUCUAUCCUAAUUUCAAUAGAUCUCUGUAUUAUUGGAUUGGGGUAUUACUGUACAAGUGUGAUGUUGUUCAUGACUUCAUAGCACGACAAAAGUGUAUAUACCUACAAUAUAUUACUCUGUUCGUCCCAUAAUACAAGAUCGUUUUUAUACUAGUACUGGUAACGUAGCGACAAAGCUAGAUUCCGUGAAGGAGAAGGCGAGGAGCCCGUGCAUGAAUAAUUCAGCGAACAGAAACCGAUGGCUUCCUCGGAUUCUUCUUCCCUGGGAGAUAGCUGUCAGCACCAUGCAUUAGUUGUUAUAUUGUGUACCUGGCACUCUUCUCCUAUUACUUGCCCAUUUCGUGGCAGCCGCUCUUUCAGACCAAACCAAACCAUGGGAUGGGAUUAGAUGGAUGCCUGUGUGGUUAAGCAUUGCUCGUAGCUUCUUCCAUCUUUACCAGUAAGCAUCGGACAUGACCACUGCAUCCUCCUCCUCAUGUCCCUCCGUCACUGGCAGCCUCUCGUUUGGAUCGCCGGCGUGCACUGACUGCACGCCACAUGCAUCGCCCGUAAGGAGUACCCAGUGACAGUCCACACACAAGUUCUAGAGGGCUCCAUGCAUGCAUGCAUGCAUGCAUCUCUACGAUGCUGUAUGGGAACAGAGGAGCCACUCGAUCGAUCCAUCACCUGCAGCAAGGUAACAUGCAUGCAUGGUGACGGAAGACUGGUCGUGCUUCAGAAAAAAUAAUAGUAAUAUUUAUCUUCUUUUUUGUGAGCAAAAAACCUGAUCUAUUCAUCAACUGCUAAGAUAGCACAAAGAACACUAGAAUUAAAAAUUGCAUUCAGUUCCAUAGACCACCUAACGACGACUAUAAACAUUGGAGCGAGCCGAAGGCGCGCCGUCGUCAUCGCCCCUCCAACAUCUUUUAUCACGUUAUCAAAAGGAAAUCAUUUUUUAUGACACGUUGGGAAGACAACCAACAACAUUAGGUGGGUGAUGAAUUGAUGAUUAACAACAAUAUGGAUAUGAUAGGAUCGGGAGAGGUAUAUGCUGAUCUGGCCACUGUCCUAGCUGAGUAAGGACUUCUUUCCAUGGUUCAUCACUGAAGUGCAAUAAUGCAGAGGAAUGCAGAUAGAGGGAUAUAGGUAGAGUGGUUAGGAGGGAUCCACACCACCAAAUGCAGGCCAAUGCGUGUCACUGUUACUAUUUGCAUCAAGCCCCACAUCAGCAUCAACGGGGACAUAUGCAGUACAAUAAUGAGGUGGUAGGGAUGGGAUGAUCCACUCGGUUGAAUCGAUUCAAGCCACCCAAAAUUCUCGGAACCAACCUCCUGGUCAUGGCACGUGCCAAGUGUUGCUCCAUCCGACGUGUGCCACAUCAGUUGGUACGCGCGUACAAUCCCUUUUCCAUCUGGCUUCCUCUUUAAUGAAUGUCACGUAGGCCGAGUUGUAACCUCGAGGUCGUGAGCUCGACCACCGAGCAUGACCCCCCGAUAGGUCCAUCGACGAUGACAAGGCAACAUGUACAAGUGGCAGCAGUUAGCGCGACUAGCUAUGCUUUCUAUAGAAGCAAUCUAUGUGUGACAGCAAGCGACGUACACGCGUACUUUUACCACAUAACAAGUACUUCCUCUGUUCCAAAACAUUUGAAGUUCUUGAUUUAUCCUAAUUCAAACUUCUCUAGGUUUAACCAAGUUUGUAGAAAAAUAUACCAAUAUCUACAACACCAAAUUAGUUCCAUUACAUUCAUCAUAAAGUAUAUUGUCAGACUACAUAUAGUCGAUGAUGUGGGUAUUAGUAAUUUUUCCUAUAUACUUGGUCAAACUUAAGGAAGUUCGACUUAGGACAAACCUAAAACCUCAAAAAAAAAACCCGGAGGAAGUAGAUCAGUUUAUGGAGCCCGAAGUAGAGAGAUGACUAGGUUCCAAUAAGAUUAAACUACACAUAUAUACACUUGCCAUGCUCAUGUGUACGUAUGUGGUUAAUUGUUGCCUCGGGUUCUGUCUGACCAUCCUUCUCGAGGGUGGCCUCUCGUGACCAACCUACAAGUUACCGAGCUGAAAUAAAGCAAUGGUUGUCGUAGCAAUGAUAUUUUUUCCCAUGGCAUGGAUACAGCAAGACCCACUCAUCAGGUGUUAGCUGAUUCUAAUUCUACGAUGAAAUUCAUACUAUAGUUCCUUCCAUCAGUACUAUUUUUUUUUAUAACAGGAGCCUUAUUGACACAAACAUCGCAUCAAGAUGAUACAAACCAUAUACAGUUCAGACCCGGAUUUGUAAUAAUAGUGAUAAUCACUCCCUCAGUUACAUGGAAUAAUAUAAAUAACUUUUUGUGAAGUUAAGCAUCGUAAAGGUUGACCAAGUCUAUUGAGAAAAAUGUCAACUGCAUUAAUACAAAAUAAAUACAAUUUCAAAACAUGUUUCACCUAUGUAUCUAGUAAUAUUUAUUUGUUAUUGUUUUGUCAGACCAAACCAAACCAUGGGAUGGGAUUAGAUGGAUGUGUGGCUAAUUCAGCAUUGCUCGUAGCGUCCUCCAUCAUCACCUGUAAGCUAUAAGCGUCAGACAUGAGCACUGCAUUAUCUGCAUCGUCCUCCUUAUGUCCAUCGUUCAUCGGUAGCCUCUCGUGUCGAUCACUGGCGUGCACACUAAAUGCGUGCCACAAGCAUCACUCGCGCCUACUCCAGUGACAGUCCACAAGUACACAAGUUCUAGAGGGAUCCAUGCAUUAUGCAUCUGUACGCGGCUGUACCAGACCGACUAGUGUUUUUCUGCAAGAAAAUAAAUAAAUAAUCUUUAGGCUAUUUGUAUCUAAAACUCUAUAUUAUUUAAUGACGCAAGAUAAAACUUUUAUACCAAGUAAACACAAUAAAGUCAUUUUUGUCACCAUAAUUUUUUGCCCACACAAUCAGAAGAAAACCAAAGGCAUUAGGUGGAUGAUGAUCAAUCAUAUGGAGAGGAUAGGAGCAGGAAAUGUAUGUGGUGACCUGACCACUGUCCUAUAACUACCCUAAUUACAAGUCGUUUCCAUGUUGAAUCAGUGAAGUACAAUAAUGCACAGGAAUCCACGCCACCAAAAGACAGGCCCAAUUUGUGUCGCUGUCCUAGCCAUAUACAAUGUCCCAUGUGGUGGUAGGGAUGGAAUGAUCCACUCGACUCGAUUCGAGCCACACACAAAAUUUGGAGCUUGCCAUGCGCCAAGUGUCAAUCCAUCCGAUGUGCCAUCUUAGGUACUACACACAUCCACACGCUUUCUCUCUCUCCACAACUCUUUUGGACGACACAUAGGAGAGAGUUUGUAGCCUCAAGAUCGCUAGCUUGAUGCUUGAAUCCGAUCGACCGGUUGCCCCGUCCAUGGUGACAAGGCAACAUGCAUGCGGUUGGUGUCCUAGCUAAGCUAAUCAAGAGAUCAAUCAUAUACAUUUAGUAGGAUUGAAUCGAACAACACUCUUGGUUGUGGAUCCCUCCAAUUGGCACAAAAUGAAAUGUGACGGAUGAAGUGUGCCACGGAAAUGAAUGCGCUCAAAGGUGUGUUCUCAGCGCUAACGAAGCAUUGUCUCACACAACUAGUAAUGACCCUCUAAAUGUGCAUGCUUUUAGUUGCGUGAUGAAUGAAUGAAUUUGUACAUAAUGUGUGGUUAUAAAAUAAAGAACCCGGUAGGAUUAAAAUUAAACUGCACAUAUAUACACUUAGCACGCUCAUGUGUAUGUGGUUAAUUGUUGCCUUGGGUUCUAUCUGAUCAUCCUUGUCGAGGGUAGCCUCUCGUGACCAACCUACAAGUAACCGAGCUGAAAUAAUGCAAUGGUUGCGUAGCAAUGAUAUUUUUCCCAUGGCAUGGAUACAACAAGAACCACACAUCAGGUGUCAGCUGAUUCUAAUUCUUCGAUUAAAUUCAUACAAUAGUUCCUUCCGUCAGUACUAAUUUUUUUUAUAACAGGUGCCUUAUUGACACAAACAUCGCAUCAAGAUGAUACAAACCACAUACAGUUCAGACCCGGAUUUGUAAUAAUAGUGAUAAUCACUCCCUCGGUUACAUGCAAUAAUAUAUAUAACUUUUUCUGAAGUUAAGCAUCGUAAAGGUUGACCAAGUCUAUUGAGAAAAAUGUCAACCGCAGUAAUACAAAAUAAAUACAAUGUCAAAACAUGUUUCAGCUGUGUAUCUAGUAAAUUUACUUGUUAUUGUUUUGUCAGACCAAACCAAACCAUGGGAUGGGAUUAGAUGGAUGUGUGGCUAAUUCAGCAUUGCUCGUAGCUUCCUCCAUUAUCACCAGUAAGCUGUAAGCAUCGGACAUGAGCACUGCAUUAUCUGCAUCGCCCUCCUCAUGUCCAUCGUUCAUCAGUAGUGUCUCGUGUCGAUCACUGGUGUGCACUGAUGCUUGUGCCUACUCCAGUGACGGUCCACAAGUACACAAGUUCUAGAGGGAUCCAUGCAUGCAUCUGUACGCGGCUGUACCAGACCGACUAGUGUUUUUCUGCAAGAAAAUAAAUAAAUAAUCUUUAGUGCUAUUUGUAUCUAAAACUCUAUCUUAGUUAAUGACACAAGAUAAACACAAUAAAGUCAUUUUUCGUCACCAUAAUUUUUUGCCCACACAAUCAGUAGAAAACCAAAGGCAUUAGGUGGAUGAUGAUCAAUAAUAUUGAGAGGAUAGGAGCAGGAAAUGUAUGUGGUCACCUGACCACUGUCCUAUAGCUACCCUAAUUACAAGUCGUUUCCAUGUUGCAUCAGUGAAGUACAAUAAUGCACAGGAAUCCACGCCACCAAAAGACAGGCCCAAUGUGUGUCACUGUCCUAGCCAUAUACAAUGUCCCAUGUGGUGGUAGGGAUGGAAUGAUCCACUCGACUCGAUUCGAGCCACACACAAAAUUUGGAGCUUGCCAUGCGCCAAGUGUCAAUCCGUCCGAUGUGCUAUGUUAGGUACUACGCACAUCCACACGCUUUCUCUCUCCCAUACUCUUUUGGACGACACAUAGGAGAGAGUUUGUAGCCUCAAGAUCGCUACCUUGAUGCUUGAAUCCGAUCGACCGGUUGCCCCGUCGAUGGUGACAAGGCAACAUGCAAGCGGUCGAUGUCCUAGCUAAGCUAAUCAAGAGAUCAAUCAUAUACAUUUAGUAGGAUUGAAUUGAACAACACUCUUGGUUGUGGAUCCCUCCAAUUGGCGCAAAAUGAAGUGUGACCGAUGAAGUGUGCCACGAAAAUGAAUGCGCUCAAAGGUGUGUUCUCAGCGCUAAUGAAGCAUUGUCUCACACAACUAGUAAUGACCCUCUAAAUGUACAUGCUUUUAGUUGUGUGAUGAAUGAACGAAUUUGUACGUAAUGCGUGGCUAUAAAUUAAAGAACCUGGUAGGAUUAAGAUUAAACUGCACAUACGCUUGGUGUGCAUAUGUGUGCUGGUUGUUGGCUCUUGCUCAUUUCUAACCGUCUCCGUCGAGGAGAAUCUCCUCAGAUCAAACUUGCAAGCAACGAAGCUGCAAUAAUGCAGCCCCCGACGUGGCAAUGAUUUAUCAUAUUUGUCCACAUUUAAUCAGCAGGACAGGCCGGAACCACUCGACCUGGUUCUACUCACGUAACCGGGUUUUGCAAAUUACUUCUGUAUAAAGUAAACUGUUGGAAUUAUUGUGGUUUUUGCAUGUGAACAUCAUUUUAUUCAUAGCAAGUCACAUGAAUUUUAUAUCUAUCUACCAUCCCUGCGCGCGCCCACACACACACAACUAUCUAUCAAUCCAACUGAUUGAUUGUGUAUGUAUGAAUGAGUUUGGCAAGGGCACUACAUUAUUUUUCCUUUCUUGUCUCUCGGCAUGCAGCAACUAACAUACAUGCAUGCGUGCGUGCACCAGGGCAAGAACCGGUAGCAUGCAUAUGGGGCAGAGGAAAGAAGCAUAUUUUUCAUCCUGGUGCCAUGUCAGCAACAGGUGGAAGCGACCGAUCGACGCCGCGGGCGGCAAAUAAUUCCGGCCGUCCAGUGGGGGUGGGUGGUCCGGGACACAUGUAGAGGUAGGAGAAGAUCCAGAAUCUUAUCACCAUCAUCCCCCGUGGCCUCACUGAUUCGCAGUGCCCAUCCUGCUAGCUAGACACACCACAUGCCUUGCCAGCUCAAAUCUUCCACUCCAAUCUUCCUUUCUCUAUCCAUCAAAUAUAAUCCAGAUGUCCUUGAGUGUGCUUAGUACCCCCAAUAAUUCUCUUUUUAUCCAAUAAUCCCCAUUAGUUUGUGCAAGCGGGGUCUAGAUUCUCUGCGAUAAUUGUCCGCCAAUAAUGCACUAUUCUAAACUAAGUAACUGACGGGUAUGUAUGUGGACUUGUGCCGGCGCGAGCUCGCAGGCAAUGCAAUCAUCAGCACAUGCAUGUAGAUCAUACAAAAGAGCAGGAGUACUCUGAAGAGGAAGAGCACAUGCAUGCAUGACAUGGAUAAGUCACUAAGGAGCUAGAGAGAAAAAUAAAAUAUAGUAGCUAGCUCAAUCGGUGCACCUGAAUUCAGAACAACAUAAUGUUAGUUCGUUGCAGGCUAUCAGCCUUGCCGGUCCCCGACAGCAUAUAUUGACGCAACAAACUCUGUAGCUGAACAUGGCACGAAAUGAAAAGGAAAAACAUAAACUUAAACUUAAUUUCUACGAGUUCAUGCAAAUUCUAGUAUCCAUUCAUGGAAUCCAAUCUCCGAGUUUUUGUUUGUUUGUUUUUUGUGAGGAAAACUUCCGAUCUAUUAAGCAACUGUCAAGGUAGUACAAUCUCCGAGUUCUACUCACGCAUGCGUCUUUUUCUUGCUAAUCUGCUGGGUUUUGCAAAAUACUUCCGGUAACAAACCUGUAGACGCCACUGAGGUUUGCAUGCGAAAACUUUUUUUCAGAUUUCUUUUACGGGGAACAGUUUUUUCAGAUGAAGUCACAUGAACUUAGCAUCUAUCUAUCGUCCCUGGAUAAUGAAAAUAAACUAUCCAUCAAUCAAACUGGUUGUGGAUCACUCCACCUGGCAAGUGCCAUGUAUUGUCACUCCAUCAAUCGACAACGACGCCGUAGGCAGAGCAUUGUUCAUUGAACUUUGCACUGUAGAGACGCGAGAUUGACGUUGCAGAACCCCUGAAAUGAUGCUGACAAGGCCUAACAACAUGCAUUGGAUCGAUGACAGUUACUAGUAACAUGUACACAAGAUUCAUUCGUUCAAAAAAGAAAAACACAAGAAAACCUUGACCAAUAGACAAUAGUGAUUAUAAAGAGAGAUGACGAGAGAUCCGCACCACCAAAAAUGCAGGCCGAUGUGAGUCACUCUCCUAGUUAGCUACAUACAAUCCAUAGAUGUCCUUUUGCAUCAAAUUAGCACCAUUGCAGUUCUUGCAGUCUUGCAGACCCAGCAACAUCAACAUGACAAUAUUACACGUCGUAAGGAUGGGAUGAUCGCCUCCACUCCGACUGAAGCCGCCUCCUGAUGUGUGCCAACUCCUGGCCAAGGUAGGUGUCAAUUGUCGCUCCACCCUGAUGUGUGCCAGUCACUCACUUCACGCAUCAACGUGCUUUUUUCCUCCUCCUUGCACUUUCCUAGACGACACGUUGGUGAGAGUUGUAACCUUAAGGUUGCGAGUCCGACUAAUUGACUAAGUGAUGAUGGCAAACCAAAGAGACAGAAGACGACAAUCAGCACUACUAGCAAAGAUUCGGCGAUGAAGUUGGCCAUAGAAAUAAGAAAUAAUCCACCUAGUUUUUUUAAUUGAAUAAUCCACUUUGUUGACCCUAUUGUAACACCGCCACCUACAAGCGUGACUCCUCUAACUCGGUUUUUUCGCACCCGACUUAUUACCCGAUACUACAUGGUUGUUUGUUUUGAGUGUAAUUUUUUUUCUGCUCUUCCUUAUUCAGUUCAAACCAGAGUAGCCAGGUUCGUGCUACGAUGGUGCGUCCCCUAACCCAAGUCGAUCGACAAAGAUCGAGGGUCGGCAAUGACACAGGGUUGGCCGGGGUCAUUGGAUGGGUCGUGAACCCAAAUCGAUGGGGAUGAUUCCAUAUCAGCAAAGGAAUGAUUACAAGAACACCUAUGGUGUGACUCAUGGAGGUCUACCUGGCAUUGUUGUCAAGAUUUCUGAGUCUACACGUCUGCCGUCUGCUCAUCAAGUUGUCGCAUGACUCUCUCAUGCCACUGCUGAGACUGGGUACGCUAAGUAGAAGGUCUUAAGACUUCAGUGGAGGAGGCAGAUAAACAACAACCCAGCUGCGUUCCUCAAACCAUGGGCUCCAACACACCGUGCUUGAGAUUAGAAGCCAUUUUUUGUUGGAAAGGUUUGUGGGUGAAGAGGUUUGGGGACUAAUGGUUCGUGGGGGAAAAGUAAUAGGAAAUGAGAAGAUAUGCCGUCGUAGUGGGUUAUGAUAGAUGCGAAAUUUCCGGUGUGGUUUUUCCCUCUACGUGGCAUUAGGAAAGAAGCACGGCAAAAUCUUACUAUUUUGGAGAAAAACAACAAAACCUUUCCCUUCAUGCCAUGUAUCGUACCGGGUAAUCGACCCAAAAAUAUCAGGAAUGCGAUCCACGUCCAAAUAUUACGUCUCGGAGAAGUAUACCCAGCAUCGCACCUCGUCCCGGAAGGGUAGCGACCCACGACCCCAUUCCUUGUUCCGCUACCCGGGCAACCAAGAUUCCUGGCAACUAUGGUAAAACAUGGAAAUACAAUUUUUGACAAAAGAAAAUGAGAAUGUAGAUUCCAUGGAAUGAUAAAACAGGCCCCACAAAUAAUUCAGCAAACCGAAACCGAUGGCAUAUUUGUCGGACUCUCUUGCACCAUCCGCAUGGGCACCCACCUACCUUACUCUCCUAUGACCUUGCUUAUCUGUAUCAGCAAACCAAACCACGCAAGAUGGAUCAGGGAUGGACAGAUGUGUGGCCUGGUUAAGCUAGCUAGCAAUGCCUGGUGGUGGUGGCACUGGCAGGUACCGUUUGGGUCACACCUUGUUGGAUGUGGAUUUGUAACGGACAUGACGUUGCAUCCUCCUCGUGUACUCCUGUCCAUUUUGCCAUGUAUGCAAUGCACGCCGCAUGCACCGCUCGCAUGGAGUGUUGGGUACUCUAGUUACAAUCAGCCAGGUGCUGACUCACCAUUGUCGGUGGAAAAAUAGAGGGACGGAUCCAUCUAGACGUACCUACCGGAGGCAAUCAGUGGCAGCUAGCUAGCCAGGCCAAGCAACAAUUUCUUUCUGGAGUACAGUAGGUACUGUAGUGCCUUCAGCUCCACAUAAUCACAAGAAAACAAACAUGAAUGGCUGGAUGAUCAAAUGACCCGAUCCGUCGUGGAUAAGAGGAAUUAGGAGCUAGAACUCCAGAGAGCUGGCUUUGCGUGGUCACUGUUCUAGCUAUGCUAAUUAAGCUUGAAGGGUCUUGCUCUCCGUUGACAUUGUUCUAGUUGCAGAUUCCACAUCAUCGCUAGUACAAUAAUGCAGGUCCACGUGUCGAGCGGAGCCGAUCCUAGCUACUCGCUGCGACGCUAGUAUAGUGUCAAAAAUACUACUCCCUCUGUUCUAAAAUAAAUGUCUCAAUUUUGUACUAACUUUAGUAUAAAAUUAUACUAAACUUAAGACACUUAUUUUAAGAUGGAGAGGGAGUAUUACUAUAUUAUUGGACAGAGGGAUUAGUAAGUAUUCUCUUUGUCCUAAAAUAAGUGCCUCAACUUUAGUACGAUAGAGUCAAACUACCCUCGUGGCUGCAAACCUCAUCAAGGUUCAGCUCGAUCCAUUAAUUUUGUUGGCUGGUAGGUGCUAACACGUUAGCAAUUCCUUUUUAACUCUUACUAACCAUGCCACGAGGCAGGGUGUAACAGGUGGCGUUAAUUGAUGGCAGCUAAUAGCUGGCUAGUCGUUGUAGUAACUUGCAAGCUUGCCAUGCAUGAACUGCAACCAACAACAAAAUAAACAUCACAGUCAAAUACUAUUCAAUAACUAGCAAUAAUGGAUAUAGGAAGAGACCGGGGGACUACACGACACGCAAAGAGGGGUCUAGCGUGCAUGUGUGUGUGAAAGAGUGUCGUUGUCCAAGCUACGAUGUCUUUCUCCAUCCAGCGCUAUGGUUUCGUGGAGAUUCAUCGGCGGCAUCAGGCAGGUACAAUAAUGUGGGAGGAGGUAGGGACCAUGAAUCUAUAGUCAUGCAAAUUCUCACACCCACCCUUGGAAUCCAAACUUCUGGCCGUGGCUCUCUCCACUUGUCGCUCCAUAUGGUCCAUGCCAUGUCGGAUGUCCUUUCCCUUUUUGCGGUGGGCACACCAACAUUGUGUGCUUGCGCGACAUGUGGCAACAUUUAUUAGAAAUAGCAAUUAUUUGGAAGGCACGUGAUGAGGCUAUCGGCCUCAGUUACAUACGACUGCAGCGAUAUUGGCCACAAAAUGAAAACACACGCGCAUUGUAACCUUGAAGUUCCGAGCUUGACGCUGACAAGGCGGCGUCUAACAAGUGGCAGCACAUUAUUGCAGUUGGUAAUAAUCUCAAGUAACUACAAUGGCACCUUCACGACAUUUAAGCUAUCCAACACUAGAAUGGUUGAUCUGGCCAACUCUACUAUUUGGCGGUCACCUUAGCUUUUGACCCCACCCAUGCUCAUUGUGUGAUGUUGGGCACUUAUAUUACCCUCCACACAUCAAACCUUAUUGAUGCUUGGAUCAAUAUGUAUGUGGUGUUCUAUUAGCAAGAUAACUCGAGAAGGUUAAGAAUAAACUAUACAUACACUUGCAUGCACACAUGGGUGUGUGUGUUGUUACGUUGUUCACUCUCGGGUUGUGUCUAUUUGUCUUUGUCAAUGACCACUUCUCUACACCAAACUUGCAAGCAACCAAUGCAAGCUGCAAUAAUGCAUGGUUCGACGUGGCAAUCAUUCAGUUUGUUUGUGGACAACAUGAGCAAGGCAGGAACCACACAAACCGGUUGUGCUCACGUGUCUUUUUUCUUUUGCUGAUUUAAUUAGAUUUCACAAACUAUGUACUUCCGAUAAACUAAAAUGUAGUAGACACUACAAAGGUUUGCAUGUGAACAACCAGUUGUAUACCCCUCGCCAAAAGGCAACAAAAUAAGAACUAUCUAUCAGUCAAACUAAAUUCAUCGUGAAUGUUUAUUUCGCAUGAUUUAUCUAGAAUAAUUAAUUCACAUUGGGCGUUACAAUAUUUUUCCUUUCUAGAACGGUGAGCACACAAGAACAAAUAAUGAAUCCGAUGGUUCUCUCGACACGAACCAACAUGCAUGCAUGAAGGCAAGAACCCAUGGCGCAUGUUAGCAUCGGCAGAGGCGAUAGAUCAAUGCCGCUGGUGGCCAAUAAUUCCAGCCGUCAGGUGAGUGGUGGAGAAGAUCCAGAAUCUUAUCAUCAGCAUCCUUGAUGGCCUCACGUUCUCACUGAUUUGCAUUCCACAUGGCAUUGCCAGCUCAAAUCUUCCACUCCAAUCUUCUUUUCUCCAUCCAUCUAAUAUAAUGCAGAUCCCUGGGGUUGGGCUUGGAAUCAUUGACACCUGACCAUGACUAUACGUAGUACCUCCAAUAAUUCCAAUUUGUUUGCACAGUAAUUCCCGUUUGUUUGUUUACCCAAUCAUUCCCAUUUGAGCAUGCAGGAAAUGUGUGUGAAUGUAAUAAUUUGUUCACCGAAACACCGAUAAUGCACUAUUAGUUAACAGACGAGCUGACCUUGUGCCCAGCCUCAAGUGCAAGCUAGCUGGCUGGCAAAAGCAAUCAUGUACAGACUGAUCAUUUUUUCUUUCGAAACGAGAAUACAGAUUGAUCGUCGAUCAUCGCAUGAAACAACAAGACCGCAUGCAUGCAGCAAUAAUUCAGUAGGGAGCUAGAGUUGAGACAAAAUAAAAUCUCCAGUAGGGAGCUAGAGUCAAGCCUAAAUAUAUUUAUUAUUUUCUUUAAAAAAAUGAAUACAAAUUUUGUUUAAAUUUUUUGGACGGUAUAACACAGAGAUUUCUGGUAUAUUUUUCGGAAACUGUUGUUCCCGGUGGCCAUUGGUAAAAAACAGAAACGGCAAAAAAAGACCUGGUGGAGAUUGAGACCACAUGCAGAAAAGUUGCAUUGAAGAAAUGAGAGAGACCUUCCUUGAUCUGAAAACAUAAGUACAAUGUGCUAUCUAUCACAUUUUUUCUAAACAAAAAUAAUAUUUGAAUUUUCAUUUUACAGUGAGGCCAUGUAGGCCUGGUUGUAGGAGGAGUCCAUCUCGUGGACGACGAGGCUCGUGGUGGUGACCCGUGCACCGGUGGCGUUGUUGAAGAGGUAUACGCCUGCGUUCGCGUAGAUGGCCUCCGUCGGGUACACCCGCGAUGUCGCGGUCAACCUCCCGCCCAUCGCAAAGCUCUCAACGAUGGAAUGAUCC
rnacentral:lncRNA from 1 species